AACGAACGCUGGCGGCAUGCCUAACACAUGCAAGUCGAACGAGACCUUCGGGUCUAGUGGCUCAUGGGUGCGUAACGUGUGGGACCCUGCCCUUAUGUUCGGAAUACCUCUCCGUCGGGGGUGCUAAUACCGGGUAAUGUACGCGGAUCAAAGAUUCGUCCUCUUUGUAGGGGCCGUGGUUGUUUUAGCCGGUUGCGAGGGUAAAAGCCUACCAAGGCGACGUUCCAUAGCGGGGCUGAGAGGCAGAAACGCCACUCUGGCACUAUGACACGGCCCAGACUCCUACGGGAUGGAGGAGUGGCUAAUAUAGGACAACGGGCGAAAUCCUGAUCCAGCAAGGCCGCGUGAGUGAUGAAGUCCUUAGAGAUGUAAAGCACUUUUACCCGGGAUGAUAAUGACGGUACCGGGAGAAUAAGCUCCGGCUAACUCCGUG
rnacentral:rRNA from 1 species